UGGGAGUCUUGAACAGUCAAACCUGACAAGAGAUGGUAAUAAUUGGUCAAUGAUGGAUGUGUAUGUGCUUCUUUUUCACUACACAAAGAAAAACACAAUAACCUCAGUUCAUAUGAAGAAGAAGUUUAUAAAUCACAUAAAACACCCACACACAUACACCCACGCAAGCAUAAAAUCAGUGUAAUAAUAAAUUGAAUAAUUGAAACCCAGAACUCAUCUGAAUCCAAAUGGCACCUUUUCCCAACUUUCUAAUAGCUUUUGUAAAACUCUAGAGCGAUGGUCAUAUAUACUGUUUAUGUGCCAGGUAAUUUUGCAAGAUUGUUGCGCCAACUAGGUGUCCUCUAAAGUCUAAACUGCAAUUGGGCCCAUAUAGACUGAAAAUUUUGCACAAUGCACCAGACAUAACAAACACUUUCUUGCACAAGAGAGACCAAUUCAUAGCUACUCUUCUCUGGCAUCUUUCAACAGGACAGAACCAUUAUCAGUUUCCAAACUCUGAAAUUGAAUACAAUAGUUGCAGAAUGCUUAUUCGAAAUUCCACAGCUCAAUUAAAAAUACAUGGAAA
rnacentral:misc_RNA from 1 species